rnacentral:rRNA from 1 species
UACGUAGGGAGCAAGCGUUGUCCGGAAUCAUUGGGCGUAAAGCGCGCGUAGGUGGCCUCAUAAGUCCGCUGUGAAAGUCAAAAGGCUCAACCUUUGAAAGCCGGUGGAUACUGUGAGGCUAGAGUACGGAAGAGGCGAGUGGAAUUCCUGGUGUAGCGGUGGAAUGCGCAGAUAUCAGGAGGAACACCAGUGGCGAAGGCGGCACUCUGGGCCGGAACUGACGCUGAGGAGCGAAAGCGUGGGGAGCGAACAGGA